rnacentral:rRNA from 1 species
UACGUAGGGGCCAAGCGUUGUCCGGAAUUAUUGGGCGUAAAGAGCUUGUAGGCGGUUUGUCGCGUCUGCUGUGAAAAUCCGGGGCUCAACCCCGGACUUGCAGUGGGUACGGGCAGACUGGAGUGUGGUAGGGGAGACUGGAAUUCCUGGUGUAGCGGUGGAAUGCGCAGAUAUCAGGAGGAACACCGAUGGCGAAGGCAGGUCUCUGGGCCACUACUGACGCUGAGAAGCGAAAGCAUGGGGAGCGAACAGG